GCAGCAGUGGGGAAUUUUGGACAAUGGGCGCAAGCCUGAUCCAGCCAUGCCGCGUGCGGGAAGAAGGCCUUCGGGUUGUAAACCGCUUUUGUCAGGGAAGAAAUCUUCUGAGUUAAUACCUCGGGAGGAUGACGGUACCUGAAGAAUAAGCACCGGCUAACUACGUGCCAGCAGCCGCGGUAAUACGUAGGGUGCGAGCGUUAAUCGGAAUUACUGGGCGUAAAGCGUGCGCAGGCGGUUUUGUAAGACAGAGGUGAAAUCCCCGGGCUCAACCUGGGAACUGCCUUUGUGACUGCAAGGCUUGAGUGCGGCAGAGGGGGAUGGAAUUCCGCGUGUAGCAGUGAAAUGCGUAGAUAUGCGGAGGAACACCGAUGGCGAAGGCAAUCCCCUGGGCCUGCACUGACGCUCAUGCACGAAAGCGUGGGGAGCAAACAGGAUUAGAUACCCUGGUAGUCCACGCCCUAAACGAUGUCAACUGGUUGUUGGGAGGGUUUCUUCUCAGUAACGUAGCUAACGCGUGAAGUUGAC
rnacentral:rRNA from 1 species